rnacentral:tRNA from 1 species
GCCCCGAUAGCUCAGUGGUAGAGCAACCGCCUUGUAAGCGGUAGGUCGUCAGUUCAAUCCUGACUCGGGGCU